rnacentral:tRNA from 1 species
GCGGGCGUGGCGGAAUGGCAGACGCGACGGUUUUAGGUGCCGUUGCCGCAAGGCGUGAAGGUUCAAGUCCUUUCGCCCGCACCA